rnacentral:rRNA from 1 species
UACGUAGGGGGCUAGCGUUGUCCGGAAUCAUUGGGCGUAAAGAGCGUGUAGGCGGCUCGGUAAGUCCGCUGUGAAAGUCGGGGGCUCAACCCUCGAAUGCCGGUGGAUACUGUCGAGCUAGAGUGCGGAAGAGGCGAGUGGAAUUCCUGGUGUAGCGGUGAAAUGCGCAGAUAUCAGGAGGAACACCGAUUGCGAAGGCAGCUCGCUGGGACGUUACUGACGCUGAGACGCGAAAGCGUGGGGAGCAAACAGG